UCUCUCAGGGGCUCUCGCUCGGCGCGGCCAUGGAGGCGGACGGGAGCCAGGCUACCUCGGGGAGCCCCGGAGAGGCGCAGCACGACCCCGGCAAGAUGUUCAUCGGCGGCCUCAGCUGGCAAACCUCACCAGACAGCCUUAGAGACUAUUUUAGCAAAUUCGGAGAAAUUAGGGAGUGUAUGGUCAUGCGGGACCCCACCACCAAGCGCUCCAGAGGCUUCGGGUUCGUUACGUUCGCGGAUCCGGCGAGUGUAGACAAAGUCCUGGCUCAGCCGCACCACGAGCUGGACUCCAAGACGAUUGACCCUAAAGUUGCGUUUCCCCGACGAGCACAGCCCAAGAUGGUCACAAGAACAAAGAAAAUAUUUGUAGGUGGAUUAUCGGCUAAUACAGUAGUGGAAGACGUGAAGCAAUACUUCGAACAGUUUGGCAAGGUGGAGGAUGCCAUGCUAAUGUUUGACAAGACGACCAACAGGCAUAGAGGAUUUGGCUUCGUAACUUUUGAAAAUGAAGACGUGGUGGAAAAAGUCUGUGAAAUUCAUUUCCAUGAAAUCAAUAAUAAAAUGGUAGAAUGUAAGAAAGCACAACCUAAAGAAGUGAUGUUUCCACCAGGGACGAGAGGAAGGGCACGUGGAUUACCGUAUACCAUGGACGCUUUUAUGCUAGGGAUGGGAAUGUUGGGUUACCCGAAUUUUGUGGCAACGUAUGGCCGAGGAUAUCCUGGAUUUGCCCCAAGUUACAGUUAUCAGUUCCCAGGUUUCCCGGCAGCGGCUUAUGGACCAGUAGCAGCGGCGGCCGUGGCGGCAGCAAGAGGAUCAGGUAGGGGGGCCCGUGGAAGAGCAAACCCUCAGAGUGCAGGGUCAGAGGGUGUCUCUGAGGCAAACUUUCCGGCCUCUCUUACACUCGGACGUGCACACCUCCUCUCAAACACUCUUCUGAGCGCUCUCAGCGGGAAGGCUCCAACCCAGCGCGGCCCGGAGGCUUCCCCGGGGCCAACAGCCCCGGGCCCGUCGCGGAUCUCUACGGCACGGCCAGCCAGGACUCCGGCGUGGGUAACUACAUAAGCGCCGCCAGCCCGCAGCCGGGCUCCGGCUUCGGACACGGCAUCGCCGGACCUUUGAUUGCAACGGCUUUUACAAAUGGAUACCAUUGAAACGUUACACAUGGUUGGUUGCCAUCUCACUUGGAGAGUCUCUCUGGAUGUCCGGGCAAGACAGGGCGAAGUUUCUGAAGGGGCCCACGUUGGGUGAUCUCAUCAGACUUUGAGCACUACAUCAUUACCAUCAUCAUCUUCACCGCCAACACAAACUGGAGGUGGCACUCGAAGGACUUGGGUUGUUUAAAAUCUCUCUCAUCAUCUCAUGAAUCUGCUGUACUAUAAAAACAACAGCUUUUAAAAGUAUGUAUAUAAAACCCAUUUCUUGUUGGUUUUAUUUUCUCGAUGGGUUCCCCCCCCCCCUUUUUAAACCUCUCCAAACCCACAUUUUUUCGUAGCGUUUGACAUAGUCUCGUAGCCACGUAGUCGGAAUUCUUUGUGUACCUAGCGCAGCCUAACCAUAGUGGAAUUGUUAUAUUAAGGGGUUUCUUUGGUUUUUCUUUCCCACCUCCCCCCACCCCCGUUUUACGCAGUUGUUGUUGCUUAAAGGAUGCUGAGAUGGUGACAGGAGUCUCAGCCGCCGGUCCCGGCGGUGGGCACGGCACGGGGGGGCCGGUGGGGCACGAGGGGGUUGAGCAACAGGUUCUCUAGCCCUUCUUUUCCUUUGUGGCGUCUUCGUUAACUCUGAUUCUCUCUAUUUUCGGCAAUAAGGCGAGGGCGACAAACUUUUUGCGCGUCCUUUUUUCUAUAAGUGCUUUUUUUUGUUGAAAGAGGUGAUAUAAGGUUUUUUGAAAUUGUGAAUUCUGAAAAAAAAAAAGAAAAAAAUAAUAAAAUGCUGUAAAUACAAUUCCAUUAACUACAUAGAAACUAUUAAGAAAGAGAAAUACAAACCUAUUUUUGUGAUGGAGUCAGCCUAAGGCAGUUUCUCUAUGAAAACGGAAGAAAAAAGACAAGGAAGUUGUAGCCUUUUGGAGCGACUGCCGGAGCUGGCCCGGGGUGGGUCGUGACGCUGUGGGACCCUCCCAGCUCUCCCGGUUCAAACCAGCAGCUUCGCUCUCAGACGUGCACAGCUUACAGAGGAACAGUCUAGUGGUAUUUUUAUUUUAAUUUAAAGCCUGCUUUUCCCAAGACUGAUCAAGAAGCUACGAUUUUUUUUUUUCCUACUCAACGCAUUUACGGUUCAAAGCACACCUUUAUUUGUUGGUUUCUUUUGUUAUUUUUCAGUCACUGUUUUAAACUAGAUCAACUUGCUGUCCAGUCAUUUCAGCCGCUCUGGGCACCCUGCCCAGCCCGGGGCCGUCCCCGCUGCGGGCAGAGCGGUGUCCAGCUUGCAUGGUUUCCUUUAUUAUCCAUCACUUUCUGCAUCAACAAAUUAGGAAGGCAACUUUGGUUGGUUUUGAUUUCUUUUUUUUUUUUUUUUUUUUUUUUUUGGGAAUACCUCAGUGCUACAAGUUUCACCCUAGAAGCAACGGAAGAUUUUAAUUUAUUGUAGUUGUAAACAGAAUUUAAAAGAAAUAAAGUAUAAAACAUCAUUGCACUGUGACUGGUAGGGGAAAAACUGACAGUUUCCUAUUUGCACAUGUUUAAUAUUUGGCUGUUAUAUAUAUGGUCCUCUGUUGGGGGAGGAAACUUAUGAAGGAUAUUUUUUAAUUUAAUUUUUUUAAUAUUGGUAAAUAGGCCUGCAACAGCAAACUAGAAGUACAACAUGGUAGGUGGCAUUAAGAACAUACUGUAGUGUGGAUAUAUUUCUUCUUUUUUUAACGUAAUAUUGACAAGUUUUAUUAAUAUUUUUUUAAAUUGUUACGUUUAUAAAUUUGGUACUUUAGGUACAGCCAGUAUAAGACACUGAAUGCGACAUUUGUUAAAAAGAGCUGCUGCACUCCUAUUUUUGUAAAUUUUACUAACAAGUAGACUAAUGUAGACAUUCAAUAGACAAGGUAGAGCAAGGCAUCUUUAACAAAAACAAGGCACCAUACUGCUAACCGAAAGGAGAAAACCUUGUUUUUCUUGUUUUUAAAAAAAAAUCAUGCUUUUUAUGUAAUAUUUUAGGUUUUUUUCUUAUUUCAGAACAACCAGGUUUAAGCAAAAUGCUGGACGCUUUUUAAAUAUUGAGACUUGAUCAAGUAAUAAAAGAAAUAAAACGAUUCUUUAAAAAAUAAAAAGGUUUAAAAAAAAAAAAAAAAAACACGGACGAACCAAAUUCCCUGUGAUUCAAUGUGCCGUCAGGGAAUUUUUUAUUGCUAUUUUGUCAAUGUUGAUGAUGUACUGUACUACCAGUUGGUUUUCCUCUCCAUUCCCUGUCACCUCAUAGAAUAUUCUUUGUUGAUCAUUGUUGUAUGUUAAUAGUGUAUAAAAUGGCUUAUCUUGUAAGAGUGCUGUCCUGAUGCUAGUGUAGUGAAUUUUUCCCCCCCUCUUUCUCUCUUCCCCUUCUAGUACAUAUUGGUAGGUGUAUCGUAAUUAAGGUUAAAAAUUUAGAUGUAGUUAUUCAGAUUUAGGACCAGUAAGGAUAGAACUUUCUCUUAUUUAAGAAAAAAAAAAUGCUAAUAAUUUUGGGAAGGUUUUCCUUUUUUUUUUUCUUUUCUCUUUCUUUCUGUUUUUUUUUUUCUCUGUUUAUUAUUUUUCUUUUCCUGAUCUGAUGCGGUUUCAACUAACCAAAGGUCUCACAAUGUUAAAAAUGCUGGCAAACUCCUAAGGCAUUUGUAGAUCCCCACCCUUGACUUUGGAUAGGGGAUGUGCCAUACUACCUUAAAUGCUAAUGCUAGAUAUGCAAAACUGGAUUUUUUUAAUUUAUUUUUUAAAAGAGGGAGGCACGGUAUAUUAAAACGAUUUUACUAAGAGAAAAAAAAAAAACCAUAUUUUUUUAAGAAUGCUCAGAAGAAAUUGCUAAUCUGUGUGAAUAUGUUUUAGAUGUUUAUAUACCUUUUGAGAAGUCCCAGUGGCCCAUAGCACAAAUGUCGUGGAAUCUGAGAUGUUUUGAUGUGGCUACCUAGACUAAGGUUCACGUUAGUCCCCCACUCAUCUAGAAAUCCAUUUUGAAGGAUUUUUUUUCUUUUUCUUCAUUUGUUUGGGGGUUUUUUUGGUAAUUUUUUCAGCACAGAGGUUCAGCUCCAUCUUUGUUUUACUCAAGCCCGGGGAGUGAAGGAUCAUGGAAUCGUGAACUGGUUUGGGCUGAAGGGACCUUAAAACCCAUCCAGUUCCACCCUGCCAUGGGCAGGGACACCUUCUACUGGACCAGGUUGCUCCAAGCCCCGUCCAACCUGGCCUGGACAGCUCCAGGGAUGGAGAGUCCACAACCCCUCCGGGCAUCCCUCAUUCCGAGGGAUAUUGCCCUUUGCUUUCCAAAUCUCCCACACGGACCCGCUGCCCCCGGAAUGACCAAAAAGAGAGAUUUCCACCCCGCUGGGAGACCUGGGCACCCAAAGCACCAGCGGGUCCAUCCCUGCCCGGCUGUGCCGUGGGACAGGCCGUGUCCCAAACACCAGGGACAUUUUACAGGAGCCACGAGAUCUCGGGGACCCUCCCCUGUCAAGUAACCCAAGUCCUUUGGGAUCAGCUUGAUUAAAAUGAAGCCUGAUCUGUCCUUUGGGGUUUUUAAUUUUUCUUAUAUUUCCUGAAUGUUCACUUUGAGUUGAAUUUGUAGCUUGGACUUUAAGGUAGCAUGGCUCUCUUUGCUGUAAGUUAAUUUUUUUCCAUUGUACAGCAGCGUCUGCUGGUGAAUGUCACACAUCUUGCUAGGCUUAGUUUAAACCAUUAGGUAAUUGUGGGUGAUAACGACCUGAAAGGUGUUGGGAUUUCUUUUCUUCCCUGCUCGGCAGCCUGGGAUGCUGCUUUCAUCCAUAGUGUGAAUGAGGGCUAGCGACUCCAGCCACACUCCCUUCUCGUUUCGUUUCUGCCAUUCACUCAA